GCUUGUCUCAAAGAUUAAGCCAUGCAUGUCUAAGUAUAAACAAAUUUAUAGUGAAACUGCGAAUGGCUCAUUAUAUCAGUUAUAGUUUAUUUGGCGAUAAAAACUACUUGGAUAACCGUAGUAAUUCUAGAGCUAAUACAUGCAUCAUCCCCCAUCUCGGGGUGUAUUUAUUAGAUGGAAACCAAUUCGGGGAAACCCGGCUCAUGGUGAUUCAUAAUAACUUUCGGAUCGACCUUUCGGUCGAUGCAUCAUUCAAGUUUCUGCCCUAUCAGUUUUGGAUGGUAGGGUAUUGGCCUACCAUGACUUUAACGGGUAACGGAGAAUUAGGGUUCGAUUCCGGAGAGGGAGCCUGAGAAAUGGCUACCACAUCCAAGGAA
rnacentral:rRNA from 1 species